rnacentral:rRNA from 1 species
GACGAACGCUGGCGGCGUGCUUAACACAUGCAAGUCGAACGGAGUGGCGAACGGGUGGGUAACAAGUGGGUGACCUGCCCUGCACUUCGGGAUAAGCAUGGGUAACUGGGGCUAAUACCGGCUCGUGUGGGAUGGGCCCGCGGCCUAUCAGCUUGUUGGUGGGGUAAUGGCCUACCAAGGCGGCGACGGGUUGCCGGCCUGGGAGGGUGGCCAGCCACAGUGGGCCUAGGGGAGGCACCAGAGGGCUACGGGAGGCAGCGGGGGGGAACAUUGCACAAGUGGCGGAAGCGUAAUGCAGCGGAGCCGGGUGUGGGAUGACGGCUUACGGGUUGGAAACUCCUUUCGCCAACGACGCGGUAGUUGGAGAAGAAGCACCGGCUAACUACGUGCCAGCAGCCGCGGUAAUAC